AUUAAAUCUUUGAUUAAUAAUUUAUGCGAUUCAUUAAAUUAAUGUAAUACUUUAAAGUGAUUAAAUGUGUUGUAUGAUUCAUUUUUUAUUUUUGUCAAACCUGUCAUUAUUCUACAUGAUACUGAAAAUAA